CGGUUAUACGAGAGGCCCCAGUUAAUAUUAUAACGGCGUAAAGGGUGGUUAAGGGACACAAUAAAAUAAAGCCAAACAGCCCCCCGGCCGUCAUACGCUUCCGGGAGCUGGAAGCCCAACCCCACGAAAGUGGCUUUAGCAAAACCUGCCUGACCCCACGAAAGCUGAGGAACAAACUGGGAUUAGAUACCCCACUAUGCUCAGCCAUAAACCCAGACAUUUUCAUACAAUUACAUGUCCGCCAGGGUACUACAAGCAUCAGCUUAAAACCCAAGGGACUGACGGUGCCUCAGACCCCCCUAGAGGAGCCUGUUCUAGAACCGAUAACCCCCGUUAAACCUCACCACUUCUAGUCAUCCCAGCCUAUAUACCGCCGUCGCCAGCUUACCCUGUGAAGGUAAUAACAGUAAGCAAAAUGGGCACAACCCAGAACGUCAGGUCGAGGUGUAGCGCACGAAGUGGGAAGAAAUGGGCUACAUUUUCUAUUAUAGAACACUACGAAUACGUAACAUGAAAUAGUGCUUGAAGGAGGAUUUAGUAGUAAAAAGGAAAGAGAGUGUCCUUUUGAACCCGGCUCUGAGACGCGUACACACCGCCCGUCACUCUCCCCUGUCAAAAUGCAAUAAAAAUUCUUAAUUCAAAAGCGCCGACGAGGGGAGGCAAGUCGUAACAUGGUAAGUGUACCGGAAGGUGCACUUGG
rnacentral:rRNA from 1 species